UGCCUCGGCGGAUCAGCCCGCUCCCGGUAAAACGGGACGGCCCGCCAGAGGACCCCUAAACUCUGUUUCUAUAUGUAACUUCUGAGUAAAACCAUAAAUAAAUCAAAACUUUCAACAACGGAUCUCUUGGUUCUGGCAUCGAUGAAGAACGCAGCAAAAUGCGAUAAGUAAUGUGAAUUGCAGAAUUCAGUGAAUCAUCGAAUCUUUGAACGCACAUUGCGCCCGCCAGUAUUCUGGCGGGCAUGCCUGUUCGAGCGUCAUUUCAACCCUCAAGCACAGCUUGGUGUUGGGACUCGCGUUAAUUCGCGUUCCCCAAAUUGAUUGGCGGUCACGUCGAGCUUCCAUAGCGUAGUAGUAAAACCCUCGUUACUGGUAAUCGUCGCGGCCACGCCGUUAAACCCCAACUUCUGAAUGUUGACCUCGGAUCAGGUAGGAAUACCCGCUGAACUUAAGCAUA
rnacentral:rRNA from 1 species